rnacentral:rRNA from 1 species
UGACUGCGUACCUUUUGUAUAAUGGGUCAGCGACUUAUAUUCUGUAGCAAGGUUAACCGAAUAGGGGAGCCGGAGGGAAACCGAGUCUUAACCGGGCGUUAAGUUGCAGGGUAUAGACCCGAAACCCGGUGAUCUAGCCAUGGGCAGGUUGAAGGUUGGGUAACACUAACUGGAGGACCGAACCGACUAAUGUUGAAAAAUUAGCGGAUGACCUGUGGCUGGGGGUGAAAGGCCAAUCAAACCGGGAGAUAGCUGGUUCUCCCCGAAAGCUAUUUAGGUAGCGCCUCGUGAACUCAUCUCCGGGGGUAGAGCACUGUUUCGGCUAGGGGGCCAUCCCGGCUUACCAACCCGAUGCAAACUGCGAAUACCGGAGAAUGUUAUCACGGGAGACACACGGCGGGUGCUAACGUCCGUCGUGAAGAGGGAAACAACCCAGACCGCCAGCUAAGGUCCCAAAGUCAUGGUUAAGUGGGAAACGAUGUGGGAAGGCCCAGACAGCCAGGAUGUUGGCUUAGAAGCAGCCAUCAUUUAAAGAAAGCGUAAUAGCUCACUGGUCGAGUCGGCCUGCGCGGAAGAUGUAACGGGGCUAAACCAUGCACCGAAGCUGCGGCAGCGACACUCAGGUGUUGUUGGGUAGGGGAGCGUUCUGUAAGCCUGCGAAGGUGGCCUGUGAGGGUUGCUGGAGGUAUCAGAAGUGCGAAUGCUGACAUAAGUAACGAUAAAGCGGGUGAAAAGCCCGCUCGCCGGAAGACCAAGGGUUCCUGUCCAACGUUAAUCGGGGCAGGGUGAGUCGACCCCUAAGGCGAGGCCGAAAGGCGUAGUCGAUGGGAAACGGGUUAAUAUUCCCGUACUUGGUGUUACUGCGAAGGGGGGACGGAGAAGGCUAUGUUGGCCGGGCGACGGUUGUCCCGGUUUAAGCGUGUAGGUGUGUGUUCCAGGUAAAUCCGGUUCACUUUAACACUGAGGCGUGAUGACGAGGCACUACGGUGCUGAAGCAACAAAUGCCCUGCUUCCAGGAAAAGCCUCUAAGCAUCAGGUAACAUCAAAUCGUACCCCAAACCGACACAGGUGGUCAGGUAGAGAAUACCAAGGCGCUUGAGAGAACUCGGGUGAAGGAACUAGGCAAAAUGGUGCCGUAACUUCGGGAGAAGGCACGCUGACACGUAGGUGAAGUGAUUUACUCAUGGAGCUGAAGUCAGUCGAAGAUACCAGCUGGCUGCAACUGUUUAUUAAAAACACAGCACUGUGCAAACACGAAAGUGGACGUAUACGGUGUGACGCCUGCCCGGUGCCGGAAGGUUAAUUGAUGGGGUCAGCGCAAGCGAAGCUCCUGAUCGAAGCCCCGGUAAACGGCGGCCGUAACUAUAACGGUCCUAAGGUAGCGAAAUUCCUUGUCGGGUAAGUUCCGACCUGCACGAAUGGCGUAAUGAUGGCCAGGCUGUCUCCACCCGAGACUCAGUGAAAUUGAACUCGCUGUGAAGAUGCAGUGUACCCGCGGCAAGACGGAAAGACCCCGUGAACCUUUACUAUAGCUUGACACUGAACAUUGAGCCUUGAUGUGUAGGAUAGGUGGGAGGCUUUGAAGUGUGGACGCCAGUCUGCAUGGAGCCGGCCUUGAAAUACCACCCUUUAAUGUUUGAUGUUCUAACGUGGACCCGUGAUCCGGGUUGCGGACAGUGUCUGGUGGGUAGUUUGACUGGGGCGGUCUCCUCCUAAAGAGUAACGGAGGAGCACGAAGGUUGGCUAAUCCUGGUCGGACAUCAGGAGGUUAGUGCAAUGGCAUAAGCCAGCUUGACUGCGAGCGUGACGGCGCGAGCAGGUGCGAAAGCAGGUCAUAGUGAUCCGGUGGUUCUGAAUGGAAGGGCCAUCGCUCAACGGAUAAAAGGUACUCCGGGGAUAACAGGCUGAUACCGCCCAAGAGUUCAUAUCGACGGCGGUGUUUGGCACCUCGAUGUCGGCUCAUCACAUCCUGGGGCUGAAGUAGGUCCCAAGGGUAUGGCUGUUCGCCAUUUAAAGUGGUACGCGAGCUGGGUUUAGAACGUCGUGAGACAGUUCGGUCCCUAUCUGCCGUGGGCGCUGGAGAACUGAGGGGGGCUGCUCCUAGUACGAGAGGACCGGAGUGGACGCAUCACUGGUGUUCGGGUUGUCAUGCCAAUGGCACUGCCCGGUAGCUAAAUGCGGAAGAGAUAAGUGCUGAAAGCAUCUAAGCACGAAACUUGCCCCGAGAUGAGUUCUCCCUGAGACUUUAGGUCUCCUGAAGGAACGUUGAAGACGACGACGUUGAUAGGCCGGGUGUGUAAGCGCAGCGAUGCGUUGAGCUAACCGGUACUAAUGAACCGUGAGGCUUAACCUUACA